AGAGUAUAGCUCAGUGGUAUAGAGUGCAUGCUUGGCGUGCACAAGGUCCUGGGUUCAAUCCCCAGUACCUCUG
rnacentral:tRNA from 1 species